AGAACGAACGCUGGCGGCAUGCCUAAUACAUGCAAGUCGAACGAAGGCUUCGGCCUUAGUGGCGCACGGGUGCGUAACGCGUGGGAAUCUGCCCCUUGGUUCGGAAUAACAGUUGGAAACGACUGCUAAUACCGGAUGAUGACGAAAGUCCAAAGAUUUAUCGCCAAGGGAUGAGCCCGCGUAGGAUUAGCUAGUUGGUGAGGUAAAGGCUCACCAAGGCGACGAUCCUUAGCUGGUCUGAGAGGAUGAUCAGCCACACUGGGACUGAGACACGGCCCAGACUCCUACGGGAGGCGGCAGUAGGGAAUAUUGGACAAUGGGCGAAAGCCUGAUCCAGCAAUGCCGCGUGAGUGAUGAAGGCCUUAGGUGUAAAGCUCUUUUACCGAGAUGAUAAUGACAGUAUCGGAGAAUAAGCCCGGCUAACUCCGUGCCAGCAGCCGC
rnacentral:rRNA from 1 species